GACGAACGCUGGCGGCGUGCUUAACACAUGCAAGUCGAACGGAAAGUCCUUUCUCCAGUGGGGUGCUGGAGUGGCGCACGGGUGAGUAUCCCCUGAGUAACCUACCAUCAACUUUAGACUACCGCUAAGACACUGGGGCCAAUACCGCAUAGGGACUACUCCUGCCUGGUGGGGGCUGGAAUGUUACGGCGGAUGGGGAUGGACACUCGGUUAAUAAGCAUGUGGGUGGGGUCGUGUCCUACCAAGGCAUUGACGGGUAGCCGGCUGGAGCGGGUGACCGGCCACAUUGGGGCUGAGAAACGGCCCAGACGCCUACGGGAGGAAGCAGUGGUGAAGAAUGCACAAUGGGCGGAAGCCUGAUGCAGCAACGCCGCGGGCGGGAUGACGGCCGUCGGGGUGUAGACCGCUUUCGCCUGUGACGAAGCGUGAAUGACGGUAAUUGGUAAAGAAGCACCGGCUAACUACGUG
rnacentral:rRNA from 1 species